UACGGAGGGGGCUAGCGUUGUUCGGAAUUACUGGGCGUAAAGCGCACGUAGGCGGCUUUGUAAGUUAGAGGUGAAAGCCCGGGGCUCAACUCCGGAAUUGCCUUUAAGACUGCAUCGCUCGAAUUGUGGAGAGGUAAGUGGAAUUCCGAGUGUAGAGGUGAAAUUCGUAGAUAUUCGGAAGAACACCAGUGGCGAAGGCGACUUACUGGACACAUAUUGACGCUGAGGUGCGAAAGCGUGGGGAGCAAACGGG
rnacentral:rRNA from 1 species